GACGGAGGAUGCAAGCGUUUAUCCGGAAUGAUUGGGCGUAAAGCGUCCGCAGGUGGCAGUUCAAGUCUGCUGUCAAAGACCGGGGCUUAACUUCGGAAAGGCAGUGGAAACUGAACAGCUAGAGUAUGGUAGGGGCAGAGGGAAUUCCUGGUGUAGCGGUGAAAUGCGUAGAGAUCAGGAAGAACAUCGGUGGCGAAGGCGCUCUGCUGGACCAUAACUGACAUUCAGGGACGAAAGCUAGGGGAGCGAAUGGG
rnacentral:rRNA from 1 species